rnacentral:rRNA from 1 species
UUCCAAAAACAUAGCUCUAAGAAUACAUUAUAAAUAGUGACGCCUGCUCAAUGAUUGCAUCAUACAGAAAAAUAACAAUUCAAUAGCUGCGGUAAUAUCUAACCGCACAAAGGUAGCACAAUAAAUAGCCUGCUAACUACAGGAUCGCAUGAAGGCACAACGAAACUUUAACUGUCUCAAGAACACAAACCUAAAUUAGAAUGUGUGUGCAAAUUCACACUAAAACAGCAAGACGAUAAGACCCUAUGAACUUUACCAAAACUCCAAUAUAUAAUUUUAUGGCCUACAACAUAUAUGUAUAUAUAAUCUUGGAACUCAAGUUUCGUUGGGGCAACGAUCUCAAAAUAAAUAAAUAAGAUUUUAUACAAUAAUCAAUCAUUACAAAAUAAACACAUAAGUUAAAUAUUAUAAAAGAUAAGACCCAUUAAAUAAAAAUGAUUUAAUGAACAUAAAAUAAAAGCUCCUUAGGGAUAACAGCGUAAUAUUGUAUACAAAGAUUCUUCUCAAACAAUGUUUGCGACCUCGAUGUUGAAUUA